rnacentral:rRNA from 1 species
GUCGAACGGAAAGGCCCUUCGGGGUACUCGAGUGGCGAACGGGUGAGUAACACGUGGGUGAUCUGCCCUGCACUUUGGGAUAAGCCUGGGAAACUGGGUCUAAUACCGAAUAUGACCACGCUCUUCAUGGGGUGUGGUGGAAAGCUUUUGCGGUGUGGGAUGGGCCCGCGGCCUAUCAGCUUGUUGGUGGGGUAAUGGCCUACCAAGGCGACGACGGGUAGCCGGCCUGAGAGGGUGACCGGCCACACUGGGACUGAGAUACGGCCCAGACUCCUACGGGAGGCAGCAGUGGGGAAUAUUGCACAAUGGGCGCAAGCCUGAUGCAGCGACGCCGCGUGAGGGAUGACGGCCUUCGGGUUGUAAACCUCUUUCAAUAGGGACGAAGCGCAAGUGACGGUACCUAUAGAAGAAGGACCGGCCAACUACGUGCCAGCAGCCGCGGUAAUACGUAGGGUCCGAGCGUUGUCCGGAAUUACUGGGCGUAAAGAGCUCGUAGGUGGUUUGUCGCGUUGUUCGUGAAAACUCACAACUCAAUUGUGGGCGUGCGGGCGAUACGGGCAGACUAGAGUACUGCAGGGGAGACUGGAAUUCCUGGUGUAGCGGUGGAAUGCGCAGAUAUCAGGAGGAACACCGGUGGCGAAGGCGGGUCUCUGGGCAGUAACUGACGCUGAGGAGCGAAAGCGUGGGGAGCGAACAGGAUUAGAUACCCUGGUAGUCCACGCCGUAAACGGUGGGUACUAGGUGUGGGUUCCUUCCUUGGGAUCCGUGCCGUAGCUAACGCAUUAAGUACCCCGCCUGGGGAGUACGGCCGCAAGGCUAAAACUCAAAGAAAUUGACGGGGGCCCGCACAAGCGGCGGAGCAUGUGGAUUAAUUCGAUGCAACGCGAAGAACCUUACCUGGGUUUGACAUGCACAGGACGCCGGCAGAGAUGUCGGUUCCCUUGUGGCCUGUGUGCAGGUGGUGCAUGGCUGUCGUCAGCUCGUGUCGUGAGAUGUUGGGUUAAGUCCCGCAACGAGCGCAACCCUUGUCCUAUGUUGCCAGCGGGUUAUGCCGGGGACUCGUAGGAGACUGCCGGGGUCAACUCGGAGGAAGGUGGGGAUGACGUCAAGUCAUCAUGCCCCUUAUGUCCAGGGCUUCACACAUGCUACAAUGGCCGGUACAAAGGGCUGCGAUGCCGUGAGGUGGAGCGAAUCCUUUCAAAGCCGGUCUCAGUUCGGAUCGGGGUCUGCAACUCGACCCCGUGAAGUCGGAGUCGCUAGUAAUCGCAGAUCAGCAACGCUGCGGUGAAUACGUUCCCGGGCCUUGUACACACCGCCCGUCACGUCAUGAAAGUCGGUAACACCCGAAGCCGGUGGCCUA